GACCCAAUAGCAUAGUUGGCUAGUGCGCCCGCGAGGAUUCAACAGUUGCAAAAAAAAGCUUUUCGAUGGGAGGCCCUUGUUCGAACCGAGGUUGGGUCA